UACUUCUAACAGAAGCAGUCCCUUCUGGGUUAGGUUAGGUGGAGGUGCAGAGUUGUCGCGUAGCUGGCGUACGGUGUCGAGGGCGCAGGGCGUGGCGGCCGAUCGUCGCGGACGGCGCGGGAACGCAGUCCAACGUUCUACCUGCCUCAUUGAGCAUGAUGGUCGGAUGAGAGAGACUAGCCCUCUUAGGUGUUCGUCGAUAGUUCGUUUGAGAAGCAGUGGCUAAGUUGCUAAGUUGAACUAACGUACCUCAAUUUGGCAUAUGUUGCGACCGGCAGCUACAGAACAGUCCGCAGUCAUGUAGGGGACAGGUAGGAGUUGUCCUAGUGUAUGGUGAUGGUCUAAGUCUACCGGUGGUACAUGCGGAAGCGGCUGCGGCCGAGGCGGCGGUAGCUCUUCCCGGCGCGCCGACACGAGCGUGUCAUGACGCGGAAACGUCCGGUCGAGGAGUUCACAGGGCCGUUGCACGGCCACACCCCAGGAUUUGCUGACGUCGCACGCACGCGAGAAGGUCAGGAGUCAUGCACGGGUUGGCGUUUCAGACGCCGACAGGCGCUGUACCUUUCUCUCUUCGACGUGGUUGCAGGUCGUGGGGCGGCUGGCUGCUUGGGGCGGUAGGCGGCGCAGGCCUCGACCGGAGGUGAGACCUAGACAGCAGGGGUAGUUGUGUUCGGUGGCGUGGGAGGACUAGCGGUCAGGGCUACACGUCGGCGGCGGCUGUAUCAGAUGGAGCUAGUAGCGGGGCCGGGGAGGGACGGACGGAGAUACACCACACAAGUAGCGGCCGUCGUGCUCGUGGGACGGCCGACGGCUGGCAGCUUAGGGCGGUAGGCGGCGCAGACCUAACCAACCUGGGCGGCGGGGAGGCCGGACGUGCGGCCUCGAGACCGGAAGCGGCGGCGGCGGCGGCGGCGGCUAGAAGAAGAGGCCGGUAGGCGGUUGGAGGAUAAGAGGAAGGGGAGGGGUUGGGCGUGGGAGGAGUUAGAGGUUGGAGGAUGUGGACACAGCACGAAGAGACGAAACCUAGCUCAACCGGGCUAGCUGGGGUAGCGGCUACGGUUCCAGCGGCCAGGUAGCAGGACGAGGUGAGCACACGCGGGAGCUGCGUCUGCGAGGGACUAGGAAAAACGGCGGCGGCGGCGGCAGCCGGAGGCAGUGGUGCGCGGGGGAAACUCGUGUGACCUACGUUAGAGCGUACCGCGGCAGUAGGCGUGACACAAACUACUUUACGGGUUGGUGUGGUUGUUGCGCUUAAAUCUAUAUGUACCACCUUAGUUGCUCGCAACAACCCUCAAACUACAACGCCAUCCGGAGCCGUCACCGUUCGACCCUCGGCCGCUCCAUCCGCUGUAGCAGCUGCUGCCGGCAGUACCGGAGGUGGACACGGGAGAACGUCCACCUGACGACCAUCCGGUUCGACAACUGCUCCUAGGCUGCCGCUGGUGGUUCCCCUCCUACUAGCGUAUACCUUUUAUGACGAGGUACCAACAAGAAAGUCCAACAUUAGACGACCACGCCACGACGGGACGAAACUAAACCCCUAAGUAGACCCUAGAUUAAAACUGGCUUGUUUCGACCAAACAACCGACGGCCGACCACAGUGGACUACAAUUUCAACGUAAAAGUCAGCCUGUGUACAAACAACAAAACGGACGAAAAAAGAACUGACGCGUGAGAGCGGCAAGCAGCAGCACGUUACAACUUCAAUAAGUACGCCACCCCACCUACUUUGUUAGGAAGACGAUAACGGUGACGAAGGCAAGUAGUUCUAUAAACAGGUACGUAUAGAAGAACUACUUGUCUGUAUUUUGGAACCUACGGGUAUUUAUACAAUCCAGACGUCGUUGUGACUUAGAAAAGGUUACCUAUUCCAACGAAGAACGGCUACUGAGGAACCGGAGAGGAAGCUAACUGUCCUACGACUUCGAUGUGGUAGCGGCUACCGGGGAACCGAAGAGAAUAGGCUAACCAUCCGACGACGUCGAUGGUUGGUUUAUGUAGGUGUUCUCUGUAUCUUCUCUCGGCUUUUAUGGGGUACCAAAACAACUACCUCCUACU
rnacentral:rRNA from 1 species